rnacentral:rRNA from 1 species
UACGGGGGGGGCAAGCGUUGUUCGGAAUUACUGGGCGUAAAGGGCUCGUAGGCGGCUCCUUAAGUCAGACGUGAAAUCCCUCGGCUUAACCGGGGAACUGCGUCUGAGACUGAAGAGCUUGAAUCCGGGAGAGGGAUGCGGAAUUCCAGGUGUAGCGGUGAAAUGCGUAGAUAUCUGGAGGAACACCGGUGGCGAAGGCGGCAUCCUGGACCGGUAUUGACGCUGAGGAGCGAAAGCCAGGGGAGCCAAAC